GCAAGUCUAGCGCUGUGACUGAGSCUGGUGUUUUCAUUUUUGGACACKGRAACGGGAGUCAGCAGGACGAAAGGUUGGUCUGUUGUAAUGCAAGUUAUGAUGGACUAGCUGAUGAACUUUUGUUUUUAAACCCUUACCUAAAAUACUGAAUUUAUACUGUGGGGACGAAAAGUCCUUGCUUUUUACUAGAUAACAACUUUCAGCAGUGGAUGUCUAGGCUCGCACAUCGAUGAAGAACGCUGCGAACUGCGAUACGUAAUGCGAAUUGCAGAAUUCAGUGAGUCAUCGAAAUUUUGAACGCAUAUUGCACUUUCGGGUUAUGCCUGGAAGUAUGUCUGUAUCAGUGUCCGUAAAUCAAACUUGCCUUUCUUUUUCUGUGUAGUCAGGGAUGGAAUGUGCAGAUGUGAAGUGUCUCGCAUGGUUGCGUUCGUUUUUUCGAUCGAGAAUCUGUCGAGUCCUUUUAAAUGGACACGGUCUUUUCUAUGGUUUCUAUGAAGUGUAAUGGUUGGAAGGCAGUGAUUUUCGGAUUGCUGGCGGCUUUUGGCGACUUCGGUAUGAACGUAUGGAGACUAGCUCAAUUCGUGGUAUGUUAGGCUUCGGCUCGACAAUGUUGCGUAAUUGUGUGUGGUCUUUGUUUGUGCCUUGAGGRGUACUAGAGGUUGUCGGUUUGAACCGUAAGUGAUUGUUUAGUAGAGCAUUUUCACGAUGUAUGGAG
rnacentral:rRNA from 1 species